ACUACUGACAGAGAUCUGCCCUCCCUUCCCAGAAGAACGUACUAGAUUGGUGAAUCUAAUGGCUGCCCGUCACUCAGUCCAUUUUUUUCUUUUUCAAUCCCACGAUAGGUGUUCAUUCCCAGACUUGAAAGUGAAUCAUAAAAACAGCCUUCAUUGUAUGUAACGCACGCAAAGUAGAAUUUCUUCGGUUCUGAUUCAUAUCUCUUCAUGUUGCUGUAAUAUUUUCUCUUUACCUUCUUGAUUCCGUAACAUAUCAUAAACCCUAGAUUGUAUUUUCUGUUCGUAGGUAUUCCCUCGAUUCUAUUCACUUCAUGUUGCUGUAAUCUUUUCUCUUUACAUGCAUCUCAAAAAAAAAAAAAAACCUCAUCCUUGUAUUAAUUGGAUGAGGUCUAUAAAAGGGCUAAUCCGAAUCGAAAUCAACAGCUACUUUUUGUCCGCUGAUUUGUUUUUUGUUUCGUUCAUGCAAAAUUGCUUGAAUUUUUGAUCUCCAGUCCUGUGAGAAGUUGGUGUUGUGGUUAUUGGUUUCCCGUUCCUAAUUUUAAUUUUCCAAUUUUGUUUUAAAAUCGUUCGUUAGGUCAAUUGGAUCGAAUUUCAUGAACUGAGGCUAAUUCAUGUAGCUUUCUUGAAGUUUCAGUUUUAGGUUUUGAUUGAUUUUCCAAUAUCCUGCAUAUAAUCGAUUGUUCUUAUUCCCAUGAUUUUGUAUACUGAUUGUGCAGCUUGGAAUGGGGUAAAUAUUUAGUUAGUGUAUGUGUGAAGUUAUGUAUCACGAGUUGUUUUCAGCAAUCUACAUAUUCUUUUCCCCGCUUAGAACUCUUAUCGCUGGGAUAUGUGGAAGUAAUGAGGUAAGUGUUGCCAUUGAGUUGUCUAUGAAGAUGGUGAAUGAUAAUGAUAAUCCAGUUGUUCAUUGUAGAGGUGGUUUAAUCGGUCAGGCUCUUAAUUUUUUUUCUGUGAAAUGGUUAGUGAUUGGAGCAUUCAUCCAAAUGUUUUCCUUUACAGAUCUCUUAAGGUUUUAUGCUUCUGAGAGGUUAAAUAUAAUCAUAAGAACCUCCAGUAAUCGGAAUUUCAAGCGCAAAUUUCGUGUAACAAAACACACACAGAGUGGUGCAGAGAAUCCUGAGAUUGCAUGCAAAAAUACAAUUCCAGGAUCUUAAGUUUUCUAGGUUUUGAUUUUCAGGGGUUUUGGCUAGCCUCUGAACUGAAUAAGUCUUUAGUUUCCGAUUGAUGAAACGGAAGAUGGUUGUUGGUGUGAAAGUAACUUCUAACUUUCUGCUUCUUCUUUAUCCCAGGGAAACACAAUGGGAGAUUGGUUUUGACAUAAUUGGAUGCUGCUGUAUUAUCUGUUCUUUUCCCGCCGACGUAAAUUACAGGCAUUAUUACCACUCAAUUGGAGUUUUAUUUGGGGGUUUUAGUUUUCAGAAUGUUUCAAAGUGCUAAGGUGAUAUAGAAGAAUCUAUCUUAGAGGAAAGACUCCAGAGCUUAGAUGCUCGAGUAAUGUCGAAGAAAACGAGUAGUUUAUUAAGGGGAUGGACAAUAAGAUUCAUUCAAUGCAAAAACUGCUUUGAUUAAUAUCAAGGUACCUAUUCGCAACAGUACUGUUAUGGAAGCUACUGAAGGACAUUUCUUAGUUACCUCCAAAUAUCAAGGAGCUAUAAUUAGUUGUUUGCCUGCAGGUGCAUAUUUUGGCACUGGCAAUGAAAUCAAGUACUUUAUAUGCGGAAGUAACAUGUUUUAAAGACGGCAGCCAAGCCUUUUAAAUUUGAACCAAUUCUCUGAAAAUGUGUUGGCCUGCAGUGAUGACAUUUUUUGGUUUUAAUUUUUUUUCCUUCUUAAUGUUAGGUUUACAUCUGUUUUAAUUGAGUAUGUUGAUUUUCUAUAUCUCUAUCGCUUUGGUCACUUAAAACUGUUUCUAGGAGAUGGUGACUUAAAACUGUGAUAUACAGAAAAUAGUUGCAUCAAUCAGUUGAGGCGUGCUGAAUUCUUGGCUAAGAAACACACCAUAGAAGAUGCUUAUACGCCUUUGGAGGUAGCAAAACUUAACGACUUGGCGUUUCUAUUUAAUCCUUUUAUGAAAGAGACCUUACUUCUCUGUGUAUUAUGUUCUUAAAGUGUGUGAAGAACAUCCAUGAAAUGAUGGUGAUUCAGAUAUACAAACUUAACUUCAGAGUUCUAUCUUAUGAUUGCAGCAAUUUAUUUAUCUUGACAUUUUGUAGCAA